CUUUGGUUGCUAACUUAGACAAGGCACUUAACAAAAAUAUUGCUUCUUAAAUGAAAAAUUACCUAUUAAGUCAUCCCAUCUCCAUUUGCAAAGUAAAGAUUUGUCAGUACAAAGUAUGUGGGAUGACCAGAAGUCACGGAUGACUUACAUGGAAGUGGCAAGGGUAGAAAAGAGAGCUGACUUUAGAGAGAUCAAGAAUAGCUUGCUGGAUGGAAGGAGAUGAACCUUCCCUGUGAGUCAACUUGAAAGUAUAAGCCUUGAAAAUACCAGUGCUCUUUCAGGAAGUA
rnacentral:lncRNA from 1 species